AGGUAACCCAAAUCCAGAAGGACAAACAUGGUGAGUCUCCAUUUCAUCUCGUUCUUUCUGCACUGACUGAAGAUGCCCCUCAAGAUCUGCCAUCUGCUGGUGAACCAGGGACAUCUCCUUCUGCAGUCGAAGUGAAUUGUGUCCUCCCUGGAGUCAGCCUCUCUCUGCAGCUCCUCCAGCUUUGCUUGUAGCUCAUCAUAGCGUGUAUGCAGGUCAUCAAGAGACUGCCCCUUGGACUGUAGAGCCUCCUGCGUGGCGGUGAGCUGCUUUAUCACAUCUAGGUGCUCCUGCUGAAGUGCUGCAAGCUGCUGGUCUCGCUGGAACAGUGUCAACUUCACCUGAAAACAAGUGAUAAACUUCACAUGCUGCCUUCCACCCUGGUACAAGAAUUUAUACAUUUUUGAUGUUCAGGAUUUAAAUACUUUUGAUGGAUUCAUUGAAGAGUCUUUUUUAUGUAAAAUUUUAGAGUAGAAGAACAUGAAUAGAAGCAAACCUGGUCAGGCUGGCAACAGAACAGUGUGAUAGUACCCUUCAAAUAUAUUCAACAGACAUCCCCAAACAAACCUGAACUACCAAUAUAGCCUGAUGCCAGAGAUCACACACAGGUCACACAUGAAUGGCACAGAGACAUAUAUGUCAGGCAAAGCCCACAUCCAAAUAAAUCUCUGUGAGCCUAGGGUCUAGGAAGCAGCAGUUACUUGCCUGUUCCAAUUGUUGCUCCAGGGAUGCUGCUGCAUCUGCCACUUUCUGUAACUGCUCCCGUUCACCUUCAAAUUCUUCCAGCCUCCUUUGGAGGUCCUCCUCCACCAUUGUCUUUGCCUCCUGAAUCUGUAUAAAUGCUGCCUCCUGAUCCAACAUGUCAGCCUGAAUAAGAAAAUGUUGCUUCUUUUAAAGUUAUUGUGUGUAUAUGAGUGUCUUGACUGCGUUUAUGUAUGGGUACUACCUGCAUCUUUAGUGCCUAUGAGGCCAGAAGAGGGCAUUGGAUCUCCAGGAACUGGAGUUAAAAUGUGUGUGAGCCACAGGGUGCUGGAAAUUUAACCUAGAUCCUUUGAAAGAAUAGCAAGUGCUCUUAACCACUGAACCAUCUCUCUAGCCCUAGAAACAAUAUUUCUUAA